AUACGUCCUGUCAGAUAGGAUUGAACUAUUGAAACUCGUAUCUCCAGACAGGCUAUUAGAAAAGAAUUUAAAAAUUCCACCAAGAAAUUGUAGGCCUACUUAGUAGAUCAGCAUCGAAGUUCAAAUCCAUUCAUCUAUACAAUAUGUAGUCCCAUCAGAACACUAGGAGCAUUAUGUUGAAGAAUUGUACUGAGAAAUUGCCUAGACAUAAUGACAGAAUCGUAUCUAGUAGAGAGAUGAAGCUCCGAGAUGACAAACGACAAUUGUAGUACAUUGCCCAUAACCCCAUUACUAACGGGUCAAGUGACUAUACUGGAUGUUGGGAGUUGAAGUGACAGGGAAUGAAUAUAGUGAUUUACAUAAUAAAAGAAAUGAUGUUUUAGUUAUGCAUGCGGAAACGAAGACAAUUUAAAAUUUUUCCUGUACUAAAAUAGUCAAUAGAGGAAAAAAGUAGUGUUUUAAAGUGUAUAAUUAUUUUGUUUAUAAUUUUUUAAUAUUAAUAUCUCGAUUAAAAAUUUAUCCACCAUUUAAUAUUUAUAAUAUUAACAUAUUAUCGAAUAAUAUUCAAAUGAAGAAGGAAUGAAACCAA